UGUGGUGAAGCACUUCUUAUGCAUCAUAACAUGUUGUUUCAAAGAGAUUUGAUGUGCAGGUGGUGGACAACGUGAAGAGGCGUGACGAAAUGAAUGACAGUAAGAAGGAUGGCGUGCUACUGGACGCGUUCUUCAUAAUCGUGCAUCUCGACCUUGUCUGAUGCUUUCCAUCCUGUUGUGUUUGAUGCAUGUUUUUUCUCCUAUUAUUGCUUCAGUAAUUAAAUUUAUUUGGUAGAAACUUCACAAGCAACAUUGUAGACAUUAUCCUUUUCUCGUCUUUGAUUGAGUAACUAUGAAUAUAAACAUUCUAUGUACCCAUGUUAUUGAAAUGCUGGAAUAUUCAUGUGCA